UACAGAGGUCUCAAGCGUUGUUCGGAUUCAUUGGGCGUAAAGGGUGUGUAGGUGGCGCCGUAAGUCGGGUGUGAAAUUUCGGAGCUUAACUCCGAAACUGCAUUCGAUACUGCGGUGCUUGAGGACUGGAGAGGAGACUGGGAAUUCGAUGGUGUAGCAGUGAAAUGCGUAGAGAUCAAUGAGGAAGACCAGUGGCGAAGGCGGGUCGUCUGGACAGUUCCGUGACGCUGAGGCACGAAGGCCAGGGGAGCAAACGGG
rnacentral:rRNA from 1 species